CCUUCUUUCGUUCAUCUCCAAUCCCUCAAACCACCCCUAACAAAAUCAAAAUAACAGCACAAGAACAAAUCACCAUUCCCAAAUCAAAACCAAAAUACCAAAGAAAAAUCAGAAUUGAAAAGGGAGGAAGAAGCAGAGGAAGGAGGCGAGAGAGACACUUCCACAACUGCCGAGUCCGCGACGAAACCGCACUACAGCGACAAAACGCAGCUGACAUCACCGCCUCCGCCAUCUGCAACCGGUGACCAUUCCUCUUUUUUUAUAUAUUAUUUUGUUUCUAUGCUUUUAUGUUGAUUGGAUUUGAAACAAAACUUUGUAUUGAUUCAUUGUUAGAG
rnacentral:lncRNA from 1 species